GCCUCCGUAGCUCAGGGGAUAGAGCGCCGGUUUCCGGUACCGAAGGUCGGGGGUUCGAUUCCCUCCGGGGGCG
rnacentral:tRNA from 1 species